rnacentral:rRNA from 1 species
AUAUAUACUCCAGUGUAGAGAAGGAAUGAUAUGAAAUAUUAUUAUACAACUUUCAGCAACGGAUCUCUUGGCUCUCGCAUCGAUGAAGAACGCAGCGAAAUGCGAUAAGUAAUGUGAAUUGCAGAAUUCAGUGAAUCAUCGAAUCUUUGAACGCAUCUUGCGCUCCUCGGUAUUCCAAGGAGCAUGCCUGUUUGAGUGUCAUUUAUAUAUCUCAACCCACACCCGUGAGGGUCGUCGGGCUUGGACUUGGGGGUUACAGGCUCUGCUAUUGUAGUCUGCUCUCCUGAAAUGCAUGGAGCAGUGGUAAUGAAAAGCCCAAGGUGUGAUACAUUUAUCUGCAUCUGUGGGGUGUGUUCUUUGCUGCUCAUAUACGGAUGGCUGUGAUAAACUGACCUCAA